rnacentral:rRNA from 1 species
GACGAACGCUGGCGGCGUGCUUAACACAUGCAAGUCGAACGGAAAGGCCCUGCUUUUGUGGGGUGCUCGAGUGGCGAACGGGUGAGUAACACGUGAGUAACCUGCCCUUGACUUUGGGAUAACUUCAGGAAACUGGGGCUAAUACCGGAUAGGAGCUCCUGCUGCAUGGUGGGGGUUGGAAAGUUUCGGCGGUUGGGGUUGGACUCGCGGCUUCUCAGCUUUUUGGUGGGGUAGUGGCUUACCAAGGCUUGGACGGGUAGCCGGCCUGAGAGGGUGACCGGCCACAUUGGGACUGAGAUACGGCCCAGACUCCUACGGGAGGAGGCAGUGGGGAAUAGUGCACAAUGGGCGGAAGCAUGAUGCAGCAACGCCGCGUGCGGGAUGACGGCCUUCGGGUUGUAAACCGCUUGCGCCUGUGACGAAGCGUGAGUGACGGUAAUGGGUAAAGAAGCACCGGCUAACUACGUG